rnacentral:rRNA from 1 species
UACGUAGGGUGCAAGCGUUGUUCGGAAUUAUUGGGCGUAAAGGGCGCGUAGGCGGUUUGACAAGUCUGAUGUGAAAUCUAUGGGCUCAACCCAUAGCCUGCAUUAGAAACUGUCGGGCUUGAGUAUGGGAGAGGUGAGUGGAAUUUCCGGUGUAGCGGUGAAAUGCGUAGAUAUCGGAAGGAACACCUGUGGCGAAAGCGGCUCACUGGACCAUAACUGACGCUGAGGCGCGAAAGCUAGGGGAGCAAACAGG